CCUUGACCUAGACCGUGAUGAGCUGCUGGAACUUGUUUGAGAGGAGGAUCGUGACCGUGACCGCGAUGUAGAUAAUGAACGUGAUCUAGAUCGCGAAGAUAGGGAUCUUGAAUAAGACUUUCUUUGAUGUUCCUUAUUAUUUUCAUCAUCACUUGCUACAUCAUUCUUUGACAGCUUUUCUUCAUCCUACAUGAGGAAUGAGAAGUAAAUCAUAUGCAUAUGCAAGAAAAGUGGGGGAAAUAUCCUGGUGUAUGGCACAUGUUGCAUUCAUUGCGGCGGGCCCAGUUUACAUUUCCACAUCUGGUAACAAAAUAAAGAAACAAUUAAUCUUAUUUUAUGAAGACCCAGUCACCAUCGUUCAUCUUAAAGUUUGGUUUAUUUGAGAAGGGAGGUCCUCCUGCGAGAGGCGCAAGGACUUCGUCCGCCAUAUUGACCGCCA